GAUGAACGCUGGCGGCGUGCCUAAUACAUGCAAGUCGAGCGAACAGGCGAGGAGCUUGCUCCUCUGACGUUAGCGGCGGACGGGUGAGUAACACGUGGAUAACCGACCUAUAAGACUGGGAUAACUUCGGGAAACCGGAGCUAAUACCGGAUAAUAUAUUGAACCGCAUGGUUCAAUAGUGAAAGACGGUUUUGCUGUCACUUAUAGAUGGAUCCGCGCCGCAUUAGCUAGUUGGUAAGGUAACGGCUUACCAAGGCAACGAUGCGUAGCCGACCUGAGAGGGUGAUCGGCCACACUGGAACUGAGACACGGUCCAGACUCCUACGGGAGGCAGCAGUAGGGAAUCUUCCGCAAUGGGCGAAAGCCUGACGGAGCAACGCCGCGUGAAUGAUGAAGGUCUUCGGAUCGUAAAACUCUGUUAUUAGGGAAGAACAAAUGUGUAAGUAACUAUGCACGUCUUGACGGUACCUAAUCAGAAAGCCACGGCUAACUACGUG
rnacentral:rRNA from 1 species